CGCUGGUCCGGCAGCGUUGCCCUCCGAAGGUAAAGAUCACACGUUCGAAUCGUGUCGGGUGCGCCA
rnacentral:tRNA from 1 species